UAAGUUAGAAACGUUGUAUAUUUUUCUGGCUGUUCAGUGCAGAGAAAGUUGGGACAUUUCAGUACAAAUGCAGGACUGUGGGUCGAGCUGUCAAAUGCGGGACUGUCCCGCUUAAAAUGGGACAGUUGAAAAACAAAUAAACAGAUAUAAAAAAAAAAUGGGACAGUUGAGAGGUAUGUUGUUGUCAUAGUGAUUGUUCAGUGUACAAAUUUGGGCUACUUUUAAAAUGGCCUUUGGCUAGUUUUUGGCAAAAAAAGAUGUAACUGGUUUCAAGACCACCUUCUCCUCAUGUAAAACUAUAUAGGGCUGAUCCACAGACAAAACUUGCAGCUCUCCAACUCACCUAGCCAAUGUCAAGGAUACCAGUAAAAUAGUCUUCAAAAACAGUGGCCAAAGGUGAAUCUCAAGAACUGGCUCAAAGGGGGGCAAAGACAAGGCCUUAAAGACCAGAGGAGGAUCCUAUGGAGGAGCAGUCUUUUUCAAUGAAGGUCUGAUUCUCAGAACUGCUUUAAAAACUAUGGCCAAUCUAUUGUAUCCAUCCAAGACAAAAGUAUCUCAAAAAGGAAAAUAGUGGAAAAGGUAAAAAUAUAUUUACGCCCAGAGAUUUUCCCAACUCUGAUAGACCAGCCACUGCUCUUGGCAAUGCUCUUGUCACCCCCUGGACUUGUGCUCCUUCUGUAUAGGCUUCCCAGCCUAUGCCGGAUGCAUCAGUAAAAUCCUCUAUCCAUUGAGGCUCCUCCAGGGGAAAACCCCUGCGAAGAUUCACUGGGUCCUGCCACCACACCAGGUGAGACUUGAAGGCUAGAGAUAAAUAUAUUUUCUGCAACCAAUCCUUGCGAUACAGAUUCCAGUGAGCCAGAAACCACCUUUGAACAGGCCUCAUUCUCCACAUCACCCACAAGACUGAUGGUAGAGGUUAGAAGGCCCAGAAAACGCAUGAGUUCCCUGGCUUGCAAAGAAGUGGGAUCCUGGAGAUGCUUUGCUCCUGAGGUAACUUGUAAAGAAACCAAUCCCAGAGAGCCCGGGUAUAUCAUCCUCUGUGUGGGUACUGGAUGACUCUUCUCUUUGUUCAGAACCCAUCCAAAAUGGAUGAGUUGACCUCACCAAGAGUACAUGGUUCUUGAGCAUCCCUGGAUGUCUUGCUACAAUGAGAUCGCCUAAAUAACGAUAGACUUCCACUCCCUCUUUCCUCAGCUUGGCAAUGAGCUCCACUAACACCUUGAUGAAUGUUCUUGGCAAGUUAGAAAGCCUGAUUUCACCCAAAUUGAAAAUGGAAACCUUCCCAGUUAAAUCUUAAAAAUUCCUCUUCCACAGGAAUGUGACUAUGCGUCCUUUUAGUCGAGAGAAGCUAACCAAUCGCUUGUGUGGACCACUGACUUUUUUGUGGCACGUGACUCCAUCUUGAAUUUUUGAUGUUUUAUAAACUUUUUUAUACUCUUAACUCUAGAAUAGGACGUGGAUCUCCUGAUACUUUUGUAACUAGGAACAAGGGGGAAUAAAUGCCUUGAACCCAUUGCUUAGGGGGAACUGGUAAAGUUGCCUCCAUGGAAAGUAUCUGGGAUAUGUAGUCCUGCAAGACUGAAUGAUCGGCUACACUGUUUGUUCUUCCUGAAGAAAUGAAGACAUUGUCUUGUAAUUAUAGAAAGAACCCAUUGAUCUUGGAUUUCUCUGGCCCAAACUUCCUGGAACUUCUGGAAUCUUGCCCUUACCAGGAAUGGUAGGGCCAGCCUCAUCUCAUUGCAGCUUUGGUUGACUUUUUAGGGGAUCUGAUAAUCUUAGUCUUAGAGGCAUGAAAAAAUCCCAAUUGACCAGAUUUACCAGGCCCGUAUGAUCUAGCCUCCUCUCUACACCUCUUGUCUUUUUUUUUUUUUUAAAAUCGCUUAGUUUUGGGCAAAAUAGUAUUUUUACCACCAAAAGUAAUAAUAUCAUCCACAGAUUUACCAAAAAGCUUCUUACCCUCAAAGGGAGGUUUACAUAAAGUAUUUUUUAAUGGUC